ensembl:snRNA U4 U4 spliceosomal RNA
AGCUUUGCGCAGUGGCAGUAUCCUAGCCAAUGAGGUUUAUCCGAGGCACGAUUAUUGCUAAUUGAAAACUUUCUUAUACUUUAAGGUUUGAUACAUUUUUAAAAAU